AGAGACUCUGUGCGCGUGCAUAUCAAUAAGCGGAGGAAAAGAAACUAACUAGGAUUCCCUCAGUAACGGCGAGUGAAGCGGGAAGAGCUCAAAUUUGAAAUCUUCAAGGUUCUACCUUGACGAAUUGUAGUUUAAAGAAGUGUUUUCUGUUGGAGUUUUGGUAAAAGUUCUUUGGAAUAGGACAUCAUAGAGGGUGAGAAUCCCGUAUUUGACCAUUAUUUCCAACUUUGUGAUACACUUUCAAAGAGUCGGAUUGUUUGGGAAUGCAGUCCAAAAUGGGUGGUAAAUUUCAUCUAAAGCUAAAUAUUGGCGAGAGACCGAUCGCGAACAAGUACCGUGAGGGAAAGAUGAAAAGAACUUUGAAAAGAGAGUUAAACAGUACGUGAAAUUGUCAAAAGGGAAGCGUUUGACACCAGUGUUGUUUAGUUGAAAAUCAAUUUAAAUAUUUUUGAUUUUGAGUAGUAUUGACUUCAUCAGCUUGCUGCUUUCUUUUCAGAAAUUAUUGAAUGCACUUUUCAGUUAACAAGUCAACAUCAAUUUCUUUUGUUGUAAAGGGGUAAGAGGAAGGUGGCUUACGCUUCGGCGUAAGUGUUUAUAGCCUUUUACCUCUGCAAUCGGAGAGAUUGAGGACAGCAGCGUAGACUCUUCGGGGUUAGAUACACUUGUGCUAAGCUAUAGCCUUGUAUAGACAACUUGUUGACUACGCUCAGUCAUGUAGCUUACUCGCUUGUGCUAUUUUACCUACGCUUAGGAUGUUGAUCUGUAGUGCGUGCGC
rnacentral:rRNA from 1 species